AUUGAACGCUGGCGGCAGGCUUAACACAUGCAAGUCGAGCGGGGUGAUGGUGCUUGCACUAUCACUUAGCGGCGGACGGGUGAGUAAUGCUUAGGAAUCUGCCUAUAGUGGGGGACAGCAUCUCGAAAGGGAUGCUAAUACCGCAUACGUACUACGGGAGAAAGCAGGGGAUCACUUGUGACCUUGCGCUAAUAGAUGAGCCUAAGUCGGAUUAGCUAGUUGGUGGGGUAAAGGCCUACCAAGGCGACGAUCUGUAGCGGGUCUGAGAGGAUGAUCCGCCACACUGGGACUGAGACACGGCCCAGACUCCUACGGGAGGCAGCAGUGGGGAAUAUUGGACAAUGGGGGGAACCCUGAUCCAGCCAUGCCGCGUGUGUGAAGAAGGCCUUAUGGUUGUAAAGCACUUUAAGCGAGGAGGAGGCUCUUUUGGUUAAUACCCAGAAUGAGUGGACGUUACUCGCAGAAUAAGCACCGGCUAACUCUGUGCCAGCCGCCGCUGUAA
rnacentral:rRNA from 1 species